rnacentral:rRNA from 1 species
ACGGCUCAGUAACACGUAGCUAACCUACCCUUAGGACGAGGACAACCCCGAGAAAUUGGGGCUAAUCCGCGAUAGGUGUGAUGUCCUGGAAUGGUAUCACGCCCAAAGGUGUUCGCACGCCUAAGGAUGGGGCUGCGGCCGAUCAGGCAGUUGGUGAGGUAACGGCUCACCAAACCUUUGACCGGUACGGGCCAUGAGAGUGGUAGCCCGGAGAUGGACACUGAGACAAGGGUCCAGGCCCUACGGGGCGCAGCAGGCGCGAAACCUCCUCAAUGCACACACGUGCGAAGGGGUUACCUCGAGUGCCGCCUGAAGAAGGCGGCUUUUCCGUGGUCUAAAAAGCCUAGGGAAUAAGAGGGGGGCAAGACUGGUGUCAGCCGCCGCGGUAACACCAGCCCCUCGAGUGGUGGGGAUGAUUAUUUGGCCUAAAGCGUCCGUAGCCGGCCGGAUAAGUCUCCCGUUAAAUCCAGCGUCUCAAGCGUUGGACUGCGGGAGAUACUGUCUGGCUAGAGAGUGGGAGAGGUAUACGGUAUUCUGGGGGUAGGGGCGAAAUCCAUUGAUCCCCGGAGGACCACCAGUGGCGAAGGCUGUAUACUAGAACACGUCUGACGGUCAGGGACGAAAGCUGGGGUAGCGAACCGGAUUAGAUACCCGGGUAGUCCCAGCCGUAAACGAUGCACGCUAGGUGUUGGGUUGGCCACGUGCCGCCCCAGUGCCGCAGGGAAGCCAUUAAGCGUGCCGCCUGGGGAGUACGGCCGCAAGGCUGAAACUUAAAGGAAUUGGCGGGGGAGCACCACCAGGCGUGAAGCCUGCGGUUUAAUUGGAUUCAACGCCGGA